rnacentral:rRNA from 1 species
GACAGAGGUGGCGAGCGUUGUUCGGAUUUAUUGGGCGUAAAGCGAACGCAGGUGGUUUGGUAAGUCAGAGGUGAAAGUCCACAGCUUAACUGUGGCACUGCCUUUGAUACUGCCUUUCUUGAGUGCAUGAGAGGGAUGCGGAAUUCCAGGUGUAGCGGUGAAAUGCGUAGAUAUCUGGAGGAACACCGGUGGCGAAGGCGGCUACCUGGACCGAUAUUGACGCUGAGACGCGAAAGCGUGGGGAGCAAACAGG